GCUCUCUUUUUCUCUCUCCUGCUGCCACAUAAGACAUGCCUUGCUUCCCCUUUUUCUUCUGACAUGAUUAUGCUCUACAAACUGUUUUGAGGCUGCAUCUGGAUUUAGUAAAGAGUGUUGUCAUCAAUUUUCAGCUUCUACCUUAGGUGUAGGAGGGAACUGAGGCAGCAAGCAAGUAUUUGCUCACUGUCUGCAUCUUUCCAGUAUAGAGAAUGCAUCAGAGAAAUGCCUCAACAUGUGUGGCACUGUGUAUAUAAUUUCCAACACUGCAAAAUGGAACAAGCACAAAACUUUGAAGGGACGGUCUAUGUGAUGAAAAGUUGGAACGGCUUCCAAGAGCUGAAAUACAAUGUUGUCAGUGUUUCUCCCUCACCAUGAUAUUUGAACCAAAGCUGUCUGAUAACAAAUGAAAAGCUUUCUGGGAUGUCAGUGUGAUUUCAUUCUGGGAUCCAUUAGGUAUAGAAAAGCAGCCCAAUUAUGACUGGGCAAAUUCCACAGGUCUGGCUGGGCCAAUUGCCAUGGAAUCAGAUCAUAUGGCUGUAUUUAGUGAUAUGGUGGACCAUUCUCAAUUUCCCUUAUCUUAUUCUAUGCACAAAGAUGGCUUGCUUUGUAUUUACUCACUUCAAUUUAAUGUGGCUCUAUCAUCCCUCCCCCACCUCAGAGCCUUUUCCAGCAAAUGGAGGCCUUUUGUUUUUUACCAUACAGAAGAUUCAGGUGACUGUGUGCAGCAUCAUGAGACUGCAGACUAGUUGGGAUUCAUCGGAGUGGCAGCAUUUUGAUCAAACACUGGGAGGAAUGCUGCCAACCUCUGCUCAGGUGGUAGAGACAAGAAGGCUUACGUGUGAUAUUAGAGUUGAUUAUGCAAGGACUCUGUCAUGAAUAAUAACAAUAAUAAUUAUUAUCAUGAUGAGGCAGAAAGAGAAUAAUGAUUUUGGGAAAUCAGUAAAACAAGUCACAUCAGUUUUCUGGCUGAAAGCCAGCCUUAUUUUCUGGUGAAGAGAGAUCAUUGGUGAUUUUAAUAAGUUAGACUAUUUUAUCAAGGAGCUGGGGGAUCUACUGCUGGGCAAAGAAAAAAGUGGGCAACUUCAAAAGAAUUACUUUUAAUUUACUCUGAGAUAUUUGCUGGGGGUGUGAAAAUGAAUUGGGAAGGCAAGUGUAUGCCUGCUUAUUUGUUAAUGAUUUCGUGGACUCAUAGCAAAAGUUGGGAGGGGAUGUUUGAGGUCAUCUAAUCUACGUGGCUUCAAAAUCUUUAUUCUUUAUAAUAGCCUACCUUUUUUGAAAUACACUCUUUUGUUGAACUCCAAUGCAAAACAUGUAAAAGUAGAGAUGAGAGUGGAAGAGAUGGAAUGGAGGGUCAAGAGCAUGAUCACUUAGGUUUGUGCCUCUCUCCACCCACUUGGUUUUUCCAUGAGAUGCUUCUCUUCUACGGAUUCAGUUCGAAAACUCCUGAUUGAAUCCAGCCUCCUCAUUUUAUAAACAGGAGAUCGGGUGACUCGCUCAGAAUCAUGCAAUUGGUUAUCUCACUGGAGCAGCUCUCUGCAGAAUAAUCUCUGCACUAAGCCACACUUGGAGUAUGAAUUGUGACUCUCCUGCCUCCUUAGCCCCUCUAGCCCUUCCCAUCUCUCCUGUCAACAGCGUUCCACUCAUUACCUUAUCCCCGCAUGACUCAAUAGCCUGUGUCCAUAUCGCUGCAAUUUUCAUGACAGUUUAAAGAAAAACACAUCUGUCUCCAUAUACCAAUGAGGGCUCAGUAGGGAACACUGAUUACAUCCUCCACAAUGAGGGCCCCAGGGGCUGCUGCUCCCAAACAUGCCCUGAGUGCAAGGGUUCUAGUCUGUCACCAACAUGGAGAAAAUCUCUCUUGUCACAUUUUAUUGUAUUCACUGGCCACGGGACAGGACGGAGUAAUAAGAAAUUCUGUGCAGGCCUCAGGUUGUUUUGAAUUCUGCUUCUGUUUUUCAGAACUGAUAUUAUUUCUGGCCCUUGAUAAGCGAUAAAUUCUCAUAUCCUGUUUUGUGAGAUUUUUAAUCAUGUGCAGUUAAUAGGCUGAUACAAAGUGUGAGAG
rnacentral:lncRNA from 1 species